ACCCAUUAUAAUCCGGGUUUCAUAAUUGAUUUGCUCUACACCAGCGGUUCUCUUCCGAUAAUUUAGCCGUGUGAUUUGAAUAUGCCAAAUUUCAAAUUUCAAACUGGUUAGGUUUUUUGCUGCCAUUAUUCUUCAGGUCUGAAACGAGAUUAAUGUUAUGCACAUGUUUUGACCAUUUUUGUUUUUUAUGUCAUUCCUGCUUACUUUGAUUCUCAUACCAACCCGAUUACGGCAAGACCGACUAUAAUGAUGAAAAGGUAUGGUUUGAUUCCACAGACUAUAUGUUAGAGGAAUUUUUUUAAGGAAGCGACUAUGAUGGAAAAAGCUGGAUUUGUUAAUCUGUGGGAGGUCUUCCGUCUCAAGCAGAGGAUAAAGCUAAAGAUAAAAUGGUUGCAGGACUGCUACAUUAUAUAAUGAGCAAGACAUGCUAAUAAGAGUUAAUGAAACCAAGGCUGGAGGAUGUAAAUUGAUGGAUAUCAGAGAAGUCAUUAUGCGAAGUGGAUUGUUUGAGGAAAACCAGAAAUACAAACAACAGAAGGAGAAUUUCAGAUAAUGGCAUCUGAGUAUAAGAAUUCAACAGUUUACUGCUGGACCUCAGAAUGCUUACCACAAUUCACUCCUGAUGCUGUUCCUGUUUUUAAAGCAAGUUCUCCAUGUUUCCGAAUGCUCUGUUGGCAUUGGAGGGACGACAUUACAAGCUUGAGCGUGUUAGCAGAAUCUACCACUAAGAGAAUAAAAUCAUAUGGACAAUUAAUCUCUGGCUCACAUAUGGCACUUUGUGAACACUUAUUAGCCAGUCCAUACAGACCAACUAACGGAGAAAAAGCAGAUUAUUUUUGUUCCGGUUCUUGAAUAAUGGGUUAUAACUCGUGCUGAUGAUGCGUUCCAUCUAAGCAUGCAGAAAACCGAGGUAGGAAAUCUCUCCUCAAGAACAUGGCAGCUUCAUUUUUAAAAAUGCAGAUAAUCUGGAAAUACCAACAGCAACAAGGCCCUUCGUCUCUGAUAUUCCGAUUUUAUAGAACUGGCUCCAAAACAAUCCAGACACACCUCCAGGAUCACGUGCACAAAUGAUCUUCACAGCAGGGUUCCAGAACAGAGUAGUCAAACUGUCCGGCCUGAAAACAAACACCAGAGUCUGUAAGCACUGAUGAUUAAUUAUCUGUUUUAAUGCAACCAGAUUGGUGUGUUAUGAAAAUUCUAAAGUCAUCUGCAGAGGUAUUGCUUUAAGUUUUUUGUUUGUAUUAGUUUGAUUUUAGAUACGUUAAACAUAGAAGAUAAAGUCUGUAAGCACAUGAGUAAUCAGUUUUAUAGAGAUUUAUGUUUCAAAUAAGAAUAAAAAAUUUACGAGACAUUCUGUUCA